UUUUGAGAUUCCAGGGCUGGCUUCACAGUAGUAAACCUUCUUACCCUGCCGCAGGUCUAGCUUCACCAGGUCCAAAAUCCUAGCCUUGCAGGACCAGGAAGUACCUUGGGACAGGAGACAUGGGAAUGGAGACUGGAGGUGAGGACUAGAGGUCACAGGGUGAGCACCCUUUGCUCUCCUCCUCAAGUCAGCAGGGCACCCUGUGGUCCCGCCUGCACCCAUGAAAGGAGGAGGCAUUCGUGGUAGGAGACAUGCUCAGAGCCCUCUCUACUAAGCAAGGCAAGGGGGCGGCUUGCUAACUGGAUGCUUGCACAUCGCACUAAAGGAGAGCCAUUCUGCACACAUAGACUAUCUGCCCAGCCUCAGGUCCAUAGCCUGCAGGAAUUCAGUGCUCUCCAGGGAGAGAGCCAGACCCAGAGCCGAUUUCUCCACUGGAUACACACUUGGAGCUUCUUUCUGAACCAGCCCUUAUCUGGGGAGUUCAGCUCACAGGCAACUGCCUCCUCUCCGAGGACCCCUACUCAGGUGUCAGCCCAGGAAGUUAUGCCCUCAGUCACAUUCUGAGACCAGCAAGAAUUCUUUCCUGCUGGAGUUUUGUCAGGAAAAAGGGGUGUCGGGAGCCUCUCUCCUCAACUUCUGCCUAGAACUCAGGACCGGAGUAAAGAGGGCUGCAGCACAGGCAGGACUUCUCACUGGCCUGGAGCUUGUCACUAAGCCAUCCUGAUUGUCCAGAGAGCCCAGGGUCCCUCUUAUCCCCGCCUCUUGAGUGCCGGCAUCUCAAGUACAAGCCACUGUGCCUGAUUUUUCAUGCAGGUUCCAGGGACCAAACUCAAGUCCUCGUGUUUGCAAUGUAUUGACUGAGCCGUGUCCCCUGCUCCAUGUCCUAAGGUUUGUAACAAGUCAUACUCCAUCAGCACUGUGUGGUUGUGACAGGCUCUCUGCCUCUCCCCAGCAUCGUCCUUUGCUUCUGCUUUAGCCACUCUGGGGAGUGCCAUACAGUAACUCACCAUGCUUGUUCAUUUUCCCCAUGACUGACUCAUGGAAUCAGCAUCUCUUCGAAUGUUCAUCGCCAAGCACAACAUCCUCCCUAAUGAAAAGGGCCGUGUCUGUCAGAGUGACUUGUGUUAAAGAUGGUUGAUGUGAGGGGGCCCUUCUGAGACUGUGUGUUCCUGGUGUUUGGGGGGUCCCACUCCCGGGCUGUGUCCUUGCUUUUCCCAUUGAAGUCAUCUCAGGCCUGGGAUUUCUUCACCCUCUUGGAGAGGGGAAGUAAUUAGCAUUUCUUGAGCACUAUUUAAGAAAGAAUUACCAGUGGGUCUGCUGGCACAGGCCUGUCAUCCCAGCUGUGGGAGAGGCUGAGACAGGAGGAUCACUAGUUUAAGGUCAGCAUGGUCUGUUCCUAAAUAAAAAGUAAACAGUGGUCUGGGGCUCAGUGCUAGAGGACUUUGCCUAACAGGUCCUAGGCCUUGAGUUUCAUCUGUACAAAUAUUCACAGAAUACCAUCACUCAUUAGCCACCUAUAUAGUGACUGUCACCCUUUGGUUUCUCCACUUGGGUUCCUGAGAACACACAGUUGGCCCCACCCUACUUGUUAAAAGACCCUGACAUACGCUAGUUGUCGAAUGUGAUCUGUGUCUGUAGAUCUUUGUUCUCAUGGGUGAAAUGAAUGCCAUCAUGUCUAAAAUGCCGCUGUCCUGAAACUACCCAGUUAUCUGUACUGCCCACCUGUCUUUUUAGUUUGUGUUUUUUUUUUAUUUUUUAUUUGAAUUGGUUUUUGUUUUUUAAGACAGGGUUUCACUGUUCUGGAACUCACUCUGUAGACCAGGCCGACCUCAAACUCACAGAGAUGGGAGAAGAGAGCCACCUCUCCCUGGAAGGCACUGGUGCAUUCCAGAAGAGUCUUUCUGCAUGCUUGGAAGCACGCAGAAAAGAGGGACCCUGUGAGCCUUUCUGGGUGAAACUGGACCUACUUCAGCUCUGACAUCAGGAUCUCUGUGUACCCGAGGAGGAGAUGUAAAGCCAAAAGGUCAUGGCAAGAGGCUCUGAAGCUGUCCCUGCCUGAACUCAUCACCUUGGACUCUGCAUAGGAGGUCCUGGGAAAGGUGGUUGGGUGGCCACUCUCAUACAGAAGGUCCCACAAUGGUUUGGCUGGAGCUGGAGCUCAAACUUGGAGCUUCAGCCACUGUUGUUUAAAUGUAGGGGUUUUGGAAAAUUUUA